rnacentral:lncRNA from 1 species
AAGGUGUUAGCACCCAAAGUGUCCUAGGUACUCCUAGGGAGCCCUUUUUGUGUGCAUGUGUAUUUGGUAUAAAGUGAUGUUUACAAACAAAUAGAAUGGGGGGAUGAGAAAAGAAUUCAUUAAUUAUAUUUUUGUGUUUGACAAGACCUUCGGUCUUGUGCCUACGUACCAACAUAGAAAUGAGGGAUCAAAACCUCGUAGUUCGUGAUACAAAUUUCAAAGGGGAUGCAUUGUUUUUAACAAAAACUAAGUUUGAAAGGCACAAAGGCCUAAAAAAGUU